GAAAGACGAACGAGGUCAGUGGCGGUAAUGCACCUAAUUUAUGAAAGUUGCCAAUCGCACUAUAAAGUCAAGAGAAGAAAAAGCCUAGAAGGAGGAGAGAUGACUAGAAACGAUUCGAUUGAUCGUUUUAUGUGUUAAUUAAUUGUCGGAGUAGAGGACUUUGUGCAUUUCAGAUCUUUGACGCUUUCGUGAGGGGCUUCCAUCCUCGUAUCAACCGACUCAUGGUCUGAACCACCCAUCACAGAACUGGCAGAGACAGGACUCAUCAGGGAUGAUUCUGAAAAACACAAAGAUGACAAUACAGGCAUGUCAAAUGUAUGGUUAUAUUGAAAGUGAUGCCACAAAUAACCAAUAGCAUCAUUGUUCAGUGUGAGCUUGAAAACACCAAGAUCUGUCUGUUUCACCACCUCCUCAAACACAUCCCCAUCAACUUUAGUUCCAGACCCAUCAUACAGCUUUGCCUCUGAUAAACUAGUAAGUGGGAUCUCAAAUUUCAGGAAAGCUGUAACAAACAUUAAAACAACAAUCGUAAUGGUAAGAGUAAUCAGACAGACUAGUAUGAAAACAAUACAUUUAUUUCCAAUCACAAAUUAAAAGUUUACCUCCAAUCAAAAAGGUUUUCAAGUGUCAGGUCAAUGAUCUUGACAUAUCUAUGUUCACCAUUGAAUUUCACCCUGAUCAGCAUGACUACGUCUGAAAGCAGUUAAGGGUACGAGAUAAGGCCAACAUGGAUGAAAAAGCAUUACAUUUUUAUUUUGAUCAUGACACUUUAUAUUAGGGUGACUACAAACGUUUUCAUCAAUACUCCUUUACUUAGCAAUGCUAAUUUCAAAGUAUAUUAUGAAAAUAUUGGAUCAUGACCACAACUUGUCUGAUAUUACUUAAAGCAGGUCCCAGCAAACAGACUAUUCAACUUACAUUCACUGUCCCGAAAUAUUGACACGGCCUAAUUAGUCCAGUAAAAUACACUCAUAAUUCCAGCUAGUCACUAUAUUAUGAUGUCAGGUUCUAGGAUUAGUCUUACAAGACCGCCAAAAUGAACUGAUUAUAAAGCGAGUGGGAAACACAGUUAGCCAGACUAGCUAGCUGCCAAUGCAAUGGCCACAAUAUUUAUCUGUAAGCAUCACACACAAGACUAAAAUGCAGUUAUAAUUUGGUAAAAUAAACAACUCACCUUAAAUCAGAUUAGUCCUCAAUAUAUAGUAAGCAUCUGAAAUAAAGAGAACAAACUAGCACGAGGCUAAAAAAAGCUUGGUGUUGAAAUGAGACACGCGCUCAUGGAACCAACACAUGGAGCAGACUAACUGCACAGGACAGGGGCAAGCUAGUUAACUAGCAUGCUAGCUAUCUAGCAAAGACUUGCAAAAAGUGACGUUUGGUGCCCUCUAGGCAGAGUUCCUCUGUCCAGUGUCUGUGUUCUUUUACCCAUCUUAAUUUUUUCUUUUUAUUGGCCAGUCUGAGAUAUGGCUUUUUCUUUGCAACUCUGCCUAGAAGGCCAGCAUCCCAGAGUCGCCUCUUCACUGUUGACAUUGAGACUGGUUUCUUGCGGGUACUAUUUUUUGAAGCUGUCAGUUGACCACUUGUGAGGCGUCUGUUUCUCAAACUAGACAAUCUAAUGUACUUGUCCUCUUGCUCAGUUGUGAGGGCCUCCC
rnacentral:lncRNA from 1 species